AUCGCUUCUCGGCCUUUUGGCUAAGAUCAAGUGUAGUAUCUGUUCUUAUCAGUAUUAUAUUUGAUCUGGUCACGCGGCUGGGACGGCGAUCGCCUCUUGGAGGUUCACCCUGGUGCCUGCUUUUGUAGCGGCCACCACAACCUUU
ensembl:snRNA U2 U2 spliceosomal RNA